AGCGGCGGACGGGUGAGUAACACGUGGGUAACCUGCCUCAAAGAGGGGAAUAGCCUCCCGAAAGGGAGAUUAAUACCGCAUAAUAUUAAAGUUUCACAUGGAGCUUUAAUUAAAGGAGUAAUCCGCUUUGAGAUGGACCCCGCGGCGCAAUAGCUAGUUGGAGAGGUAACGGCUCACCAAGGCGACGAUGCGUAGCCGACCUGAGAGGGUGAUCGGCCACAUUGGAACUGAGACACGGUCCAGACUCCUACGGGAGGCAGCAGUGGGGGGAAUAUUGCACAAUGGGCGAAAGCCUGAUGCAGCAACGCCGCGUGAGUGAUGACGGUCUUCGGAUUGUAAAGCUCUGUCUUUUGGGACGAUAAUGACGGUACCAAAGGAGGAAGCCACGGCUAACUACGUGCCAGCAGCCGCGGUAAUACGUAGGUGGCAAGCGUUGUCCGGAUUUACUGGGCGUAAAGGAUGUGUAGGCGGAUACUUAAGUGAGAUGUGAAAGCCCCGGGCUCAACCUGGGGACUGCAUUUCAAACUGGGUA
rnacentral:rRNA from 1 species